GCCAGGGUAGCUCAGUGGUAGAGCGUCCGCUUCAUAAGCGGAAGGUCGUGGGAUCGUUCCCCACCCCUGGUA
rnacentral:tRNA from 1 species